GGCGCGCUCGUGAUGAUUUACAUUUAUAAGCAUAGUUCAUCUGAACCUCUAUGAAGACACCUAUGUAUUCUCUAGUCUUUCGCUCCCAUCUGAUGCGCCCU
rnacentral:snoRNA from 1 species